rnacentral:rRNA from 1 species
UACGUAGGGUGCGAGCGUUGUCCGGAAUUAUUGGGCGUAAAGGGCUUGUAGGCGGUCUGUCGCGUCGGGUGUGAAAACUCAGGGCUUAACCCUGAGCCUGCUUCCGAUACGGGCAGACUAGAGGUAUGCAGGGGAGAACGGAAUUCCUGGUGUAGCGGUGGAAUGCGCAGAUAUCAGGAGGAACACCGGUGGCGAAGGCGGUUCUCUGGGCAUUACCUGACGCUGAGGAGCGAAAGUGUGGGGAGCGAACAGG